AGGAGUCCAAGUCCUGAGCGCAUUUUGAUUCGCCGCUCUGGCCUUGCGGGGUGGAGCGACUGGGAUGUGAAGACAAAUGUUUGCGCUGGGAACGUCUGUCAAGCGUGCCAUUUAGAACGCGGGUACCUGCGCAAGUUUGUCAUGCUGUUUACUGGAAACUGAAGGUCUGUAUGGGAGCCAACAACCGCAACAGCUGACAGGAGGCCCCAGAAGCCUCCCACAAAAGCAAAGGGAAAUUUGAUGUGAUUGCAUCCCUAAAAUUAAACCCAGCACAAACAGAAUACCUGGCAGCAGCUCUGUGCACAACCCUGCAUUCACAUGCUCUAUGGUAUGAAGGUGGAAUGAAGGUAUAGAGAGUGGAUCACUAUUUCUCCAAAAUAUGGUCACCACCCGCUGUCUGUUUCAUUGCUUGUGGCAUCUCCACAUGUCCAACAACUAUGGCCAUGAAUGAAUCCUUUGUGGAACUGCAACUGCACAGAAGCAACCCACCCAACCCUUUUGCAACCUCCAUCCUUCCCUCCAUAUGUUCCCAAUACAUCUAAACCUGUGGCCUGGGGGGCUACCACUAAACACCUGCCCCUGUCCGGGCUACAAUGGGGGCUAUUCUUCAUGAUGGAUGGACAAGCUAACACUGAUGAAGACUUAGGAACAUCAGCAAGAUAGGAGGGAGUGGGAUAUAUGUCCUUUUCAUAUAAUGUUUCUGAAGGUGAUGGUCUAUGAGAGUGCUGAUGUGUGCAAUUGAAUGAGCGUGUGUUUGUCUAUGUGCUUUGUGCAUCUGUUUGUGCACGUCUUUCUUUGGUUUCCCCCAUGUCUGGUUUUACCAGUCUUACAAAGGGGAUUUUUUUUUUUCAGUUUGUUCGCACCGCGCUCUGAGUUGUUAUCUGUUAGAUCAGCGCAUGCUAAAUGUAGGAUAAAAUGCCCUUGAUUUGACUGUAAUGCUGAGUUUCGGAUGGAAUGUAAGCAAAACGAGUCAGCGCAAGCAUUUUUUUAUUUCUUUUGACAGAGGUUUGGCACAGAGUCUUUAGACAUGCUUGUCUUUACAAAUGAUCAAUUUAUCUUGGUUCGCAGUUUGAACUGAGUUCAGCUUACUCACUUCACCAGAAAUUACCUCAUCAUCAUGGCUGUAAGUUUACAGUUGAGCGUUCCGAUGGUUUGAUGAAAAUGCCAGGUUGAACAGCCUACGGUGCUGUGAUGCGGUCGCUGGAUGUUUUGCGUUCUUCACUCCAAGGAAGUAAUGGAUAAUUAUAUCGUUUUAAUAAUCGUAAUAAUUCCACGAGAAUAGGGAAGUCCACACCACAGCUAUAAUAAUAAUUACACGGAGAAACUAUAUCGCUGGAAUCACUGUAAGAAUUUUUUUUUCUCCAGCUGAUGAACGAUAAAAACAUUGACAGCCAAUCAAAAUCCACACAACUUUAAACAGCUCGAGCACUUAAAGCAGCAGACACAACAAACAGAGCGUUAUCGUGCGUUGGUGUGGACGCUAAUACAGUUAUCGUUAUAAUUAUCUGAUUAUACAAUGAUCGUCCUGAUAUGAACAGGUCUUAAAGGGUUAGUUCACCCAAAAAUAAAAUUUCUAUCAUUUAUUACUCACCCUCAUGUCGUUCCACACCAAUAAGACCUUGAUUCAUCUUCGGAACACAAAUUAAGAUGUUUUUGAUGAAAUCCGAGAGGUUUUUUUAAUCUCCCAUAGAAAGCAAAGAAAUUAGGCUACCACAUUCAUGGUCCAAAGAAGUAGGCUAGUGAAGACAUCGUUAAAAUAGUCAACGUGACUACAGUGGUUCAAUCUUAAUGUUAUAAAGUGACGAGAAUACUUUUUGUGCGCAAAAACAAAACAAAAAUAACUUUAUUCAGUAAUUUCAUCUCUACCCUGUCAGUCUCCUACGCAGUUGACGCAGUGCAGCACUUCCGUGUUUACGUGCGAACGCUUGCUCAGCAUUGGCCGACGCUGUUCACGUGAGCAGCAUGAUGUAUGCGUGUGAUACUGAAGCAGGAGCCGUCCAAUAAUGAGUCAUCGUUCUGACGUAGAACACAGAAGCUCUGCAAUGUGUCUUCAAUGUAAACUGAGUCACGUAUUAACAAUGUCUUUACUACUUUUCUGGACAUUGAAUGUGGUAAUUUCGUUGCUUUCUAUGGGAGAUUAAAAAAAAACAACCUCUUGGAUAUCAUCAAAAAUAUUUGUGUUCUGAAGAUGAACGAAGGUCUUACGGGUUUAAAACGACAUGAGUAAUUAAUGACAAAAUUUUCAUUUUUGGGUGAACUAACCAUUUAAAGGGAUAGGCCUAGUUAACCCAAAAAUGGAAAUUCUGUCAUAAUUUUCUCACCCUAAAGUUGUUCCAAACCUGUAUGAACUUCUUUCUUCUGCUGAACACAAAAGACUGUAUUUUAAAGAAAAUGGGUAGCCAAACAGUUAAUGUCCACAGUAUGGAAAAAAAAUACUAUGGAAGUCAGUGGGGCCCGUCUUUGCUUACCAACAUUCUUCAAAAUAUCUUCUUUUGUGUUCAGCAGAAGAAAGAAAUUCAUACAGGUUUGGAACAACUUUAGGGUGAGUAAAUAAUGACAGAAUUGUCAUUUUUGGGUGAAUAUCCCUUUCAGAGUGUGCAUGGUAUGUGCAUUAGCAGGAUGUUUGCAUUAGUGUGUGCCUAUAUGCUUAGGACCUGUUCAAUGGGUAACUCUGACAGACAGGGAAAUAAACAGAAACUUGGAAUGCCACAGGGGUAAACACAUUCAUUUAAGAUGAGACACCCCACUACAGACACUUUCUUCACCUUUGUCUUGUUGUCAAGGUGAUGAUGGCCAUUAUUUUUGAAGACUGAUUGCUCGGUAUCAAAUAUAUUGUGUAGGCGUUUAUGUAGGUGUUACAUUUUCUAUUCCUUUAAUUGAGUUGUAAAGAAAAAAAGUGUCUUGUCAAAUGCUGCAGGUAAACUGUCAUCUUAAUGCUCUGACCUCUGGGCCUGUGCAACAGGCAUACAUCUAGUUGUCACUGCUGGAGGGAAAAAUGAUUUUAGCCUUCUGAGAAUGAUUGACAGUGGAACAAACCAUAGCCUUGAAGAAUGUGCUUUUUGUUUCAGUCAAAUUACCUUUUAGGUUGUUGCAGUUUAUCAACAGCUAAUCUUGCAUUAUAUAUAGAGUUAAGAGUCUUGCUGCUUUUUGGCAAGAGUCCUGCUGUCUGUCAUCACUUAAUAUAUAUAAUUAAAUGCAUUUUCAACUGCCUUAUCUGCAAAUAGAAAGGUGUGAAGUUGGAGGUCAAACAAAAACCAUUGUUGUGAGUUAGUGAAAAGGGAAAAUCACUUUAAUCAGUCCUACAGUGUUCAGCCAUAUCGUAUUCCACCAAUGAAUAUGAACUACUUCAGAUGAGAUGUUAAGAUUAUGUCUUUGGACACGGUAAUUACAUACAUUGACAUACGUUCAUUGUUAAGUUCAGUGAUUUUUUCCCCCUGUUACUUAUGGCAACAAAUGAAGCUGAAAUAUUAAAAUGACAAAUAUGACACUUGUAUUGUAAUGUCUGUGUCAUCUGUGAUGACUGUGCAGUAUUUUGUAUUGCCAACAAAUCUUCCAUUCCCAGGCUUCUCUGUCCAGGGUGUGUCUUAACCUUGUGUACUGUCAACAACGGAGGAGGGUCACACACACACACACACACACACACACAUUGGGUUUUCACAUUGAGUUUUCACUUUCCAUAAACAAAAUGAUUUUUAUACUGUACAUUCUAUCCCUACCCCUAAACCUACCCAUCACAAAAAAACUUUCUGCAUUUUUACAUUUUCAAAAAAACAACAACAACAACAACAACAACAAAAAACAUAAUUUUGUAUGAUUUAUAAGCCUUAUUGUCCUCAUGUGGACCACAAAAAAUGUUCCUUCUAGGUCAAAAAUUACUGAUAUUACUACACACACACACCUAUUCAAUACUGACCCUGCCACUCACACACACACACACACACACACACACACACACCUUUACACCUUCACAAUGGAUAACGGCCACUCUGAGGUUUUGUUGUUUUUUGUAAUUACUUCUAAACAGUGUUGCUCAGUGAGGGAGCUUAAACACGUGGAGUGGACAUUGUCUUAGUCUGUGUUUGAGAAUCUAAUGUUUUGCUGACAUACAGGCUUUAAAAAGACAGAAUAUUAUAGAUGAAGUGAAUGAGGUGAGAAGAACCAAAAAAAAAAGUGAAUAGUCAAGGUAAAAGUGCUCUUUCACUUUCAUUAUAUUUAUCAGGAAAGACCUCUGAAAAUUCAUUAAAGCAAUAAGCUCAGACAGUAGUUUUCCUUCUAGCCCCAUCAAUGUGGGAAAUGUCUUGUCUUAUCUUAUCAGCAGUUGACUAUCUCUUUCUCCCUGAGCUUUGCAAUGUUUGCAUAGGGGCUGCUGUGGAGAGCUUGCAGGUGUGAAGUCUGCCCUGUCAGGGCUUUAGCUCCUGGCAUAGCUGGCUCCCUUUGCUGUAUUGUUUAUGUGACCCACCCUCUGGCAUCUUUCCACCUUUCACAGGUAUUUCUCCCCAUCAAACAUGUCAUUAUCAGGUAUUAUUACUAAAGAAAUGCUUAAGAAAAUGUGGUUUUUUUUGGCCUCUGUCUUCUCCCCUGAGGAGAGGAACUCAAAUAUAGAAUAAUCCAUAUCUCUCAUUUUGCAACAUUUUGACACCGAAAAGAUUUAAUGAAAGGCAAAUUAGGUCUUCUGUCCUCAUGAUGUAUAAGAAGAUAUAAUUAAACAGGCACAUCAAUCCAAAUAGUUUUACAUAACAUAACAUCAGACUUGUAUUUCAGGUUGAUCUUUGAAGGGAAGACAAACACUUCUGUCUUAACUCUAGUCAGUCAUGUAGUGAUCAAACCCACAUUAAAAGGUAGUUAUGGAUGAGUGCCUGCAUGCUCCCCAUGAGGAUGAUUACUCUUUACCAGUCUGCUACAUGUUUACAUAAGCAAAGCAGGCCUGCUGUUUGACAGAGCCUCCUAUGGUGAUAAUAUUGACUAAAGGGGAGUUCUACUUAAUUUGUUCCUCAGAGCACCUUUGGUUUGGUUUCAGUGUUACCAAGUCUGCGGUUUUCCUGUGGAAUGGGCUACUUUUACACUGUCGCAGUGGGUUGCUUGUUAGUCCACUGGUUGAAGUGAUUUUGAAUAGCAAUUGGUCUGGUUUUGUUACGCAACCCUGUUUGGUACUAAACUAUGUGCACCUGUGAACUCUACCAUCGGGACCGAGAUGGGUUUUGUGCAUGUUGCCCAGUUGGGACCCACGGCAAGUGCAAUCCUGCAUGAAAUCCAUGUGGGCAAUUGGCAUGGAGCCAUUAUGGAACCUGCGGACAAUCCUAUAUAGGGCCCAGUUUUCCAGCCCAUUUCAUACCCAUAUGAGCCACACACACGUGUUGGCUGGGUAACAGCAAAUCAGCAGCUGAUUGAUUGGGGAGGUUUUUUGUUCAAA